ensembl:lncRNA
AGGGAGGAGAGAGGGAGGGAGGGAGAGAGACUUCACUGUUCAUUUUUUACCCUCUUUUAGUCCGCCUGUCAGUGGGAAGUCAGUCAGCCUAGAAGGGGCUAGGAAGCUACUCAAUUCACCUCAACUGCCUGAACAACAGAUAAGAGGAGUUGAAUGUUCCUGAUUGGAGGAGUUGCUUUCCAAGACGACAUUGAAUGUUCCUGAUUGGAGGAGUUGCUUUCCAAGACGACAUUGAAUGUUCCUGAUUGGAGGAGUUGCUUUCCAAGACGACAUUGAAUGUUCCUGAUUGGAGGAGUUGCUUUCCAAGACGACAUUGAAUGUUCCUGAUUGGAGGAGUUGCUUUCCAAGAUGACAUUGAAUGUUCCUGAUUGGAGGAGUUGCUUUCCAAGAUGACAUUGAAUGUUCCUGAUUGGAGGAGUUGCUUUCCAAGACGACAUUGAAUGUUCCUGAUUGGAGGAGUUGCUUUCCAAGACGAC